rnacentral:rRNA from 1 species
UGGGGAAUAUUGCACAAUGGGCGAAAGCCUGAUGCAGCGACGCCGCGUGAGGGAUGACGGCCUUCGGGUUGUAAACCUCUUUCAGCAGGGAAGAAGCGAAAGUGACGGUACCUGCAGAAGAAGCGCCGGCUAACUACGUGCCAGCAGCCGCGGUAAUACGUAGGGCGCAAGCGUUGUCCGGAAUUAUUGGGCGUAAAGAGCUCGUAGGCGGUUAGUCGCGUCUGCUGUGAAAACUCGAGGCUCAACCUCGGGCUUGCAGUGGGUACGGGCUGACUAGAGUGCGGUAGGGGUGACUGGAAUUCCUGGUGUAGCGGUGGAAUGCGCAGAUAUCAGGAGGAACACCGAUGGCGAAGGCAGGUCACUGGGCCGCAACUGACGCUGAGGAGCGAAAGCAUGGGGAGCGAACAGGAUUAGAUAGCCCUGGUAGUCCAUGCCGUAAACGUU